rnacentral:rRNA from 1 species
CCUACGUGUGGCAGCAGUGAGGAAUAUUGGUCAAUGGGCGCGAGCCUGAACCAGCCAAGUCGCGUGAGGGAAGACGGUCCUAUGGAUUGUAAACCUCUUUUGUCGGGGAGCAAAAGACGCCACGCGUGGCGUUCCGAGAGUACCCGAAGAAAAAGCAUCGGCUAACUCCGUGCCAGCAGCCGCGGUAAUACGGAGGAGGCGAGCGUUAUCCGGAUUUAUUGGGGUUAAAGGGUGCGAAGGCGGAAGAUCAAGUCGGCGGUAAAAUUUAGAGGCUAAACCGCGUCGAGCAGUUGAAACUGGUUGUCUUGAGUGAGUGAGAAGAAGGCGGAAUGCGUGGUGUAGCGGUGAAAUGCAUAGAUAUCACGCAGAACUCCGAUGGCGAAGGCAGCAUACUGGCGCUUAACUGACGCUGAGGCACGAAAGUGUGGGUAUCGAACAGGAUUAGAUACCCCAGUAGUC